rnacentral:lncRNA from 1 species
GGGGUGCAGCUGGUAGGGCCCGAACACACUGGUGGUAACCCGAGGACUAGGCGACUUGCCAAUUCUAAAGAACGCUGCUUUUCCUGUGCCCAGUUCCCUCACUCUUACUGGACUUGAACGAAUGAGAACAUCAUCGAGCACCAAAUAAUAAUGAUUUAAAAAUCAUGGGAACAAACAGUGAUAAAAAUGAUACUAUUUGUGGAGGAUCUGUGGGUCUGUUUUUUUUACAAGGAGUAUUUCAUUUGAUUCUCAUCUGAUUUUGUAAGGAAAUUACAAUUACUGUGUUUCUAGCCGGGCAAUGAUCUGCAGGACGUGAGAACUUGUUAGAAAUGCUAAUUCUCAGCCCAUCCAGCCUCCACUGACUUAUAUAUGCUGGGAGGCAAAGUCAAGCCCUUGGUGUUUAACAAGCCCUCCUUGGGGGGCUGACGCAUGUUCAAGUUUGAGAACCACUGUUUUCAGUACUGCUUUGUAUCCCCGAGUGUGAACUUGAGCGGUUCCCCGUGGCAACUGCUCAAUAACAUACCUUUCUGGGGCCUCCUUCCUUUCCUUGUUUCACAUCUUUACUCUUCAGCUGGGCCUUCCUGGGAUCACCUCCAAACAACUACUUGCAUUUGAAUCCUUGCCUCAAGUCUGCUUCCAGAGAACACCAUCUGAGAGAUCUGCAGGGGAAGUGUGGUUGCCCAGAGAGGAGGAGGAAAGUGGCUGGCAGGAUACCCAGGGACAGUAGGAGACUGAGUCAGAUAUCGCAAGC